AUUAAUGAUGUUUUGUGUCGGCAGCACUGAUUUUUUUUUAAACAAUGUUAAAAGAUUUUGUUUGUAUGUGCUUGAACACCAAGAGUUAAUGUAUUACAUCUAUCAGAGCAAAGUUCUCAGAGAUACUGCAGAUUUCACGAGCUCUGCGUAAACAGAAGGAGGGACACCAACACCAGUCAAAAAAGAUAUCAUGUUGCUCCGACAUACACAUCCAGUGUCUACAAAACAUGCAACCAGUGAAGGGAAGCGUGUGGCUACUGUGGAUUUCACUCAGGUAACGUUCAUGUUCCUGUUUCAAACAUUCCAAAAAAGGACCAAAAAAGACGUUAAAAAAAAAAAAAA